rnacentral:rRNA from 1 species
CAAAUGASUCUCGGCAAUGGAUAUCUCGRCUCUUGCAUCGAUGAAGAACGUAGUGAAAUGCGAUACUUGGUGUGAAUUGCAGAAUCUCGUGAACCAUUGAGUCUUUGAACGCAAGUUGYGCCCRAGGCUUUGUGGCCGAGGGCACGCCUGCUUGGGCGUCAUGGC